rnacentral:rRNA from 1 species
UCACUAUUGCUGAUGAGUGUUAAGGUGAAUCUUCUUGAUCGUGUCAACGAAAAAUUAAGUAAACUUUAGCACUUAGAGGGAAUAA